CCAGCCUCCAGGCCGGGCGAUCGAUGUGGGUCUCUCCUUCACACGCACGCCCAUGCCCCUCAAUCUGCUUCUGUCUCGCGCUCUCCUACCUGGAGGCCAUGCAUUUCAUUGCAGCUGCAGCUAGCAGUUUCAAAUUUCAACGAUAUCGUGCUCGCUGUCAGAGCCAGAUCGUAUAUGCUUCCAUGAAGUAAUCGGCAAAGUGAAGAUUCCUCGGUGCUAAUCAUGAGCACAAGCACUGCAGCUGCAGUUCGUCGAAAGAAAAAAAGCACAAGCACUGCAUCAUCAGUAUCGUCUAUCAAUAUUCGACGGACCUGAGGAUAAGCGAUAAGAGGUUAAAGUUUGAUAGGCCUAGGGACAUGCACUUCGUCUAGGUCAGUCUGUUUUAUUUCCCCUGUUCAUUACGCAGCUGGGGCUCCACCAGUUCCCGAAUCCGUACUGGCAUGUCGCGGUCGAGGCCACGACGACAUGAGCGGAAGGAAGCAAAAGCUACGACUUGUACGCUUCUGCCUUGGAGACACUAUUGGGAAGAAGCUCGAGCAUGGCAACCUUUUGGCAUUUUCUACAGACGGGUAGCCAUAGCGGCGGCCGCAUGCACAUUUUGCGAACGGAAUGAUAGCUCCAGAUUCAGAA